AUAUCAUCAUGCUUUUCUGUUGCAGGAGUAGUCAUGGGGACUGUUCCACUUGCAGCAAUGUUGGGAUCAAUCAUCUGAGAAAAGAUCCUGGAGAGACGAGGCAACGUAUUUUCCAUUUCUGAUGUCAGGAUUUGUUCUGUGAAACUGACCUUUAAAGCAGCCUGAAAAUGAGGAACGUGGCACCAGAGAGCAGAUCAGGAAGCAUGAAAUGAUCAGGCUAACAGCAUGAGAUGGACAAAAUCCCAGCCUUAUGCUUCAAGCAAGUCAGAUCAGCCAUUGGUGUGUGGAAAGCCUUGUUUGCGGAAAUGCUGAAAUUUCUGGGCCAGACGUGAACUUAGCACUAGAAUCUGGAAGAGUUCUCAGACAGUAACACAACUGUUGUUUGCAGAUUGCUUGAAUCUUGACUCUACCAGGGAAAUAUUGUUGAGUACUUUAUACAACAGCUAUAAGGAAGACCUGAUGUGAACAUUGUUCACAAGUCUGCAAGAAAAAAACUCAACCAACCAGCAUUUCAUUUUAUGACCUGAAAAUUAUCCACUGCUGUAAGUAGAAUAAAACAGUUUUGCAAGUAUUUUUGGCUCA
rnacentral:lncRNA from 1 species